GCCAGGUGUUUGUUAGCUUAGGGUGU
rnacentral:piRNA from 1 species